GGCCUCCUGUUGUUUACCACAGGCUGUGUUCUUACACUGACUGUAUAGAAAAAGGAGGCAGAGCAAAUCUACCCUAUAUACACCUCAAUCCAGGCAUGGGGAGACAUGG
rnacentral:snoRNA from 1 species